AGGGUUUGAUCAUGGCUCAGAUUGAACGCUGGUGGUAUGCUUAACACAUGCAAGUCGAACGGUAACAUUGGAGCUUGCUCCAGAUGACGAGUGGCGGACGGGUGAGUAACGCGUAGGAAUCUGCCUAGUAGUGGGGGACAACAUGUGGAAACGCAUGCUAAUACCGCAUACGCCCUACGGGGGAAAGCGAGGGAUCUUCGGACCUCGCGCUAUUAGAUGAGCCUGCGUUAGAUUAGCUAGUUGGUGGGGUAAUGGCCUACCAAGGCGACGAUCUAUAGCUGGUCUGAGAGGACGAUCAGCCACACUGGGACUGAGACACGGCCCAGACUCCUACGGGAGGCAGCAGUGGGGAAUAUUGGACAAUGGGCGAAAGCCUGAUCCAGCAAUACCACGUGUGUGAAGAAGGCCUGAGGGUUGUAAAGCACUUUCAAUUGGGAGGAAAACAGCUGGGUUAAUAGCCCUGCUCUUGACAUUACCUUUAGAAGAAGCACCGGCUAACUCCGUGCCAGCAGCCGCGGUAAUACGGAGGGUGCGAGCGUUAAUCGGAAUUACUGGGCGUAAAGCGUACGUAGGCGGUUAUUUAAGUCAGAUGUGAAAGCCCCGGGCUCAACCUGGGAACUGCAUUUGAUACUGGAUAACUAGAGUUUGAUAGAGGAGAGUAGAAUUUCUGGUGUAGCG
rnacentral:rRNA from 1 species